rnacentral:lncRNA from 1 species
GUUACUUUGAUUCUUCCUCGAUCUUUGAGGAUUUUAUCCUUUAGUAUUUCUUAAAUACUUAAGGACUCACUUGACAAUUGCCAUGGUUCUGAUCCUGGGCUUGAACUGAUAUCGUCUUGUACCGUUCUAGGUACAACUCAUAUCAAUGUUUUUCAUACAAUAUGAAAUACAUAAAUCACCUUUCUGCGUAUGCAUAAAGGAUUAUAUUUACGCAUUAUUUCUAUGGGAGUCUGUAGACAUUGAAAUUUUGGUGGCAUAAAUGUUAGCGCUUGCAUUAAGAUUACAUUUGUAAACAUUGAAAUUUUAGUGAAAUAAAUGUUGACCAUUGUGUUAAAACUACAACCUCCACCCGAAUUCACCUACAACCUCCACCCAAAUUCACCUACAACAAUCCAUCCAAAUUCACCUACAACCUCCACCCAAAUUCACCUACAACAAUCCAUCCAAAUUCACCUACAACCUCCACCCAAAUUCACCUACAACAAUCCAUCCAAAUUCACCUACAACCUCCCCACCCAAAUUCACCUACAAAAUCCAUCCAAAUUCACCUACAAACCUCCAUCCAAAUUCACCUACAACAAUCCACCCAAAUCCCUACAAUCCAAAAUUCACCUACAACCUCCACCCAAAUUCACCUACCCAAAUUCACCUACAACAUACACCCAAAUUCACCUACAACAAUCCAACCAAAUUCACCUACAACCUCCACCCAAUUCACCUACAACACCUACAACAUCCACCAAAACAAUGGAUGGUGGUGGUUCAUUCCCAAAGCCUAUAAAUAGGCUCCUCCAUCAAAGAAUCAAAGGAGGAUUUUUACACACACUUUCUCUACUCCCAAAUUGGAAGAAAAUUCACACCACACUAAAGACUUGAAGCUUCGAAACUUUGAAGCUCNN